CUUGGCAUUGACACACCAGGCAAGGCCCAGUGUGCCCCUCCCCCGAUGCACCGGCACCCUGCGGGCCCCGAGCGCCCGUGGGAGGCACUCACCAUCGAAGCUGCGCAGCUGGGUGGCAAGCAUGGCCUGCAGGACGCGGCUGCUGUCCCGGAGCGCGGUCUCCAGCUCGGCAUGGCUGCGGUUGGCCAGGUUCUCCUCCAUCUCGCUGGUGCAGCAGGUGUAGCCCUGGGGACAGAUCCGCAGGUGCUCACCUGUGGGGAAAGGCCAGUGUGAGGGAGAGGGGCUGGGACAGCACUGGGAGCCAGGAGGGCACCCUCAGGCUCUCCUGGGCAGGAUGGCAGACCCAGGGUGGAGCACAGCUCAGGGGUGGGCCAGCCUGGGGGGUGCCCUGGGUGAAGGCAGAAGUGGUCGGGGUGUGGAGGGAGGAAAAGGCCUGGCUUCGGUCCCGUAGCUUCCCACACGUGACACAAGAGCACGGCUGCCUCUACAGGGCAGGAGGCCCCUUGGGCAAGUCCUGCCCCCCAGCCUGCUGUCCCAGCAGCUGCAAGCAAAGAACUGGCCUCAGGUUCCUGUGUGCAAGUGUGGAGAAGGCUCCCAGGCCCGAAAGGCACCCCUUGCCUGGGCCCAUGUCUGAGGAUGGGGAAGGAGGAAGGAAUCCAAUCCCCCUCUCUUCCCACACCAGCCCUGGGGGGCACCAAGCUCCCACUGCAAGGACGGCAGAUCCCACCAACAGUGGGCUGGUCAGAGGCAGUGGCCCUGCAGGACCCCAGGCACGAGUCUGGUAUGGGGGCAGGUGUGCUCUGGUGCAGCUGGCAGGCCCCAUGAAAGGGUCAUUGGACCAUGCCCCAAGCCCUGCAGGGUGCACCCUGUGCCUCCUGGUGUCCUUGUGGAGUCCCCUCCUCUGCAGCCUGCCAUGAGCUACUCUGCUCCAGCGUCCGAGGCAGUGACAGCGGCACUGCCAUCAGAGACAGCUUCACCUCCUUGUGGGGAGUGGGGACAGGACAGGCUUUGAGUCAGCUCUCAGCCCUGCUGUGCACACCUCAGGGCCCACCUGGAAUGGGUGUGUGGCAUCAGGAAAAACUGCAUUUUUUAAAGGGUGUGCAUCGCACUGUGAUGAAGGCUGCCGCAAUCCUCAUUUUAUUAACCAGAAAACCGGGGCUUACAGGGAUGAGGUCUCGUCCCAGCUAUACAGUGAGGGGGCAAGUGGUUCCGGCUGCCUAAGCUCAGGACUCCACACUGACGGGGCCACACUGUUCCUUCUGGGCCUCGUCCCCCGCCUCUAAGGCCCUCCUGGUGCUGGCCUAGGUCAGGCACAGUGGAGAGGUGGAAGCAGGAGCCUGGCUUGGUCAGAGGGGUGGGGUCAAGGGGGGGCGUUGUCAGCAGGAAUUCCAGCAACUUUCCUCAGGACUGCCGCCUCAGGGGCCUGUCUCAUCCUGUUCUGGGACCCUGGGCCAGGGUGGCUGGAAUGCAGCAGGUCCUGCAUUCUUUUACGCCCUCCUGAGGGUCAGCAGGAAGUGAAGGCCAGGCCAGGGAGGAGAGGCAGGAGAGGGAGCCAGGACCGGGACCGAGGGCGGGGUCAGCCCGGGCAGAGGCACCUGGCUCGAGGCUGUCCUGGGGGAGCUGGCAGCAGCUCCAGCCCUGCCUGGAGGUGGGAGCAGGGAUCUGUAGCCCCACUGCAGGCAGGGCCUGGAGCAGCGCAGGCAGUGCCCUACCCGCUUACUGCAAGAGAAGUCACCCCUCAGGCCUGGGGUCCAGGAAGCCCUUACCCACUAGAGGCCAUCUGGGGUGGGGACCCAGGACUAGGUAACUACCCAGAGGUUGAAUGCCUGGGUCAGACUGAGUUUGCUGAUCUUCCGCACCCUCUAAGUACACACACUCAGGGAGGAGCCCGAGACAAGAGAAGGGAACAGAGAACCCGAAUCCGGGCUUGGGCGGCUGCCGCUUGGCCCCUGUAGCCUCUGUGCCUGCUGACAUGACAGCAAGGAGACAGGUUGUCAGAGGGGCCUGGGAGAGCGAGGGAGGGCCGAGGUAGGGGUUCUUAUCCUGGAGCGCUCCCUCCUUGCCCUCUUUUCCUGUCUGAGUUCUGGAAUGUACUGAUGCAGGGGGCUCUGGCUUGAGCUAGAGGGGGAGGGAGUCCUCCGCAGGGGCUGCAGGUCCAGGGAUUCCCCAGGGCCUGGACUUACAUGUGCCCAUGCUGCAGACAGAGCGGGAAUGGCAAGUGCACCUGCGCCCCCCGCCCCUCCUUACCUCCAGAUGCCUGCUGGAGGGGGAGUUGGGGGUCCAACAGAGUCUGGGGCCAGGAGGGCCUUGUGGGAGCCAGCUGGGGUGAGGACAGAGCCCGGCUCUGAGAGCCCUGGGGCCUAGUAGAGAAGGGGUGCUCCUUCCCCACUCCUCACAUGGGUGGGAAGGCGCCCUCAGGCAAGAAGACUGGGACACAGGUACACUCGCCAGGGACCAUCCUUCACUCUGCAGCCUUUAUUCACUGAUGGGAUUCUGCCCCAGUCCCACCCCCGUGGGGGCAGGAUUUAGAGCAGGAACCGCCCCUCCGGGUCCUUUCCUGGGGCCUGUGCCAGGCUGAGCAGACUCAGGAGGCGUCUCUCCGAGGGUGUGGGCUGUGAUGGGGCCCUGUGCACCCAUCCAGGCUGCCCAGACCAGGAGAGCACAGGAAGCCUCCCCAGCCUCUGGCCUCCAGUCCCAACAAGCCAUGCUCCUUCCAGAGGGAACCUCUGCCAGGGGAGCCUCCACUUUCUUGCUCCUGCCUCCCUACCUGGCACCCAGGCCGGCCCUGGUACCCUGGUACUGAAUAAAGGCACACGUCUAAAUGAUGUCGGGGGGAAUCUGCCCAGUGUUGGCACUGGAGCGAACACGACCCACUGCCAGCAUGGCCCACGAGCCACACCCCCCCAAGCCAGCACCUCCUCCCCAGAGGAAGCACGGGGCUCGACGGGGCACGCCCCUGAAUGGGAGGUCACACAUGGUGAGGGCUCCCUUGUUCCCAGAGGUCUAGCUGUCUCCCUGCUAAGAUGCAGAGCUCACUAUGGGCCUCGCAGGGGGUUAAGCCGAGUCAUUUCAUCUUCACAGCAGCUGUAGGUCCCGCUGACAUAGCUGACACAUAGAGAGCUAAAGUGACCUGUGCAAGGUCACAGGCUAGGAGUAGCAGCACGGGGCCCAGCACGAGGAACAGCCUUAGCAUCCCCCGCCUCCCCAACCCUGCAGCCUGCCCUGACUCCAAUCCCAGGGGAAUUCCUGAGCUGCAGGCAAAGGCUGAAGCAGGAGCUGACAAGCCCUGCUGAGCCCAGAGAGGUCUGGGCGGUCCCAGGAGGGCGUCUCCCUAGGGCUUUGAUGAGUUGGUGGCCGCCCAGGCACCUCUGCCUGCCUGCCCAGCAUGGCAGGUGUGUGGGCUGGAGCUUCUGCCCAGCCCUGCCCCACAGCCACAAUUAGGGGACGAGUGCAGAUAAAGCACGGGGGCCAGUUACAUCUGAAUUUCAGAUAAACAAUGAAUUGUUAUUUUAGUACAGUAUGAAAGUAUUUGGCCCCAAAGAACUGGAAGCAGGAAAAGGAACAGCUCCUCAUACACCCAUGCUCACAGCAUUAUUCACCAGAGCCGGAAGGUAGAAACGAUGUCUCUCCACAGUCGAAUAGAUUGUUUCCACAAACUGUCUGUAGGUGCAUACAAUGGAAUAGGAUUAAUCCGUGAAAAGGAAGAAAUUCUGACACAUGCUCCGGCGUGGAGGAACCUUGAGGACGACGCUGAGUGAAAGAAGCCAGACACGAAAGGACAGAUACGGCAAGACUCGACUUAUGUGAGGUCCCUAGAGGAGUCGGAUUCAUAGAGACUGAAAGGAUGGCGGGCACCAGGGGCGGUGGAGAGGGGAAAUGGGGAGUUACUGUUUAAUGGGGACAGAGUUUCAGUUUUACAAGAUGAAAAGGGUCCUGGAGCUGGAUGGGGGUGACGGCCGCACAACAGCAUGAAUGGACUGAACGCCACUGAAAACUGAACUCUUGAAAAUGGUUAAACUGGCAAAUUUUGUUAUGCAUAUUUUGCCACAAAAAGCAAACAACUCUUCUCCCCAAAAAUAUCUGGGGUGUACUUACACUAAAUAUGUAGGGCAUAUUUACUCUCAACAUUUAUUUCCUUAUUUGAAAUGAAAGUAUUUGGGACACACUGCACUACAAAAUGAUUCAGGGUCUACCUGAAAUUCCCAUGUACCUCGUGUCCUGUCUUUGCAUCCGCUAAGUCCGGCGGCCCUUUGCAGCGUGGGGGUGGGGGGGG
rnacentral:lncRNA from 1 species